UACGGAGGGUGCAAGCGUUGUCCGGAUUCAUUGGGUUUAAAGGGUGCGCAGGCAGGACAUUAAGUCAGGGGUGAAAGACGGUUGCUCAACAAUCGCAGUGCCUUUGAUACUGGUGUUCUUGGGUAACCUUGAGGUAGGCGGAAUGGGUGGUGUAGCGGUGAAAUGCAUAGAUACCACCCAGAACUCCGAUUGCGAAGGCAGCCUACUGGAGGUCAACCGACGCUCAGGCACGAAAGCGUGGGGAUCAAACAGGA
rnacentral:rRNA from 1 species